UACGUAGGGUGCAAGCGUUAAUCGGAAUUACUGGGCGUAAAGCGUGCGCAGGCGGUGAUGUAAGUCAGAUGUGAAAUCCCCGGGCUUAACCUGGGAACUGCAUUUGAGACUGCAUGGCUGGAGUGCGGCAGAGGGGGAUGGAAUUCCGCGUGUAGCAGUGAAAUGCGUAGAUAUGCGGAGGAACACCGAUGGCGAAGGCAAUCCCCUGGGCCUGCACUGACGCUCAUGCACGAAAGCGUGGGGAGCAAACAGG
rnacentral:rRNA from 1 species